CACAGGUUCCUGCUUCUGUCUCUGCUGGUCCUGCAGCUGUGGGAAGCUGGUGAGGCCUCAGCACUUCAGGCACUCACGACCAAAGACUUCGAAAUCCCCGCACAGGACACAGAUGAGGCCUGGGACAAGCAUGCCCCGGAACCUCUGGGGAAGGACCAUCCACUCUGGGGCCUAAUGCACUUGGGGCUGCUCCCAGCAAUGAAGUUCCUGGCCGAGACCCAGCAGCAAGGU